GGGGUCGUUACGGAUUCGACAGGCAUUAUGAGGUAUAUUUCGCGACUCAUCGGCAGAUGUAAAAUGCCAGUUAAAUAUAACUGCAAAAAAUACAAAUUCUUACGCAUUAGCUGCCUAAAAAACAGCCUGCGUGAUCUUCACAAGAUUGUUUGCGUUUUGCUAGAAGGUCUUAUUUAUCAGCAAACUACGUUUGGCUACUGUCUAGUUAGUUAAAAAAGAGAUUUAUAGACUCGCUAUGUGAGGGCUUGAGUUAUGUGUCAUCACCUAGUUAAAUCAAUACAUAACCUAUAGUUGUAGACAAAUAUAUUAGCAGAUGUUUGGACGUGGGUUCGACUCCCACCGGCUCCAUAU
rnacentral:tmRNA from 1 species